GAUAACACAGUCAUAAAGGAGUAGUAGCGAACGCUUGGAAAGAAGAGAACUGACGGUAGGUGCAAGUCAGUCUGAUAGCGUAGCGAACUCGCCUUUUAGUGAUUAAGAAUGAACAUAAAGUAGUUCUUAACGGUACACACCGUUAUGUGUAAGGUGAUUAAGCUAAUGGCUUAAUAAACUGGGUGGUACCGCGGGAUAUACGAGCUCUCGUCCCUUUA
rnacentral:ncRNA from 1 species